rnacentral:rRNA from 1 species
UGGGGAAUAUUGCACAAUGGGCGAAAGCCUGAUGCAGCGACGCCGCGUGAGGGAUGACGGCCUUCGGGUUGUAAACCUCUUUCAGUAGGGACGAAGCGCAAGUGACGGUACCUGCAGAAGAAGCACCGGCUAACUACGUGCCAGCAGCCGCGGAAAUACGUAGGGUGCGAGCGUGGUCCUGAAUUACUGGUCGUAAGGAGCACGUAGUCGGUUUUUCAACUCGUCUGUGAAAUCCUAGGGAUUAACCAUGGACGUGCAGGCUGUACUGGCAGACUUGAGUACUACACGGCAGAAUGGAAUUUCUGGUGUAGCGGUGGAAUGAACAGAUCUCAGGAAGAACACCGAUGGCGAAGGAAGGUAUCUGGGUAGUAACUGACGCUGAGGAGCGAAUGAAUGGGUAGCGAACAGG